AGAGCGAACGCUGGCGGCAGGCCUAAUACAUGCAAGUCGAACGGAUCCUUCGGGAUUAGUGGCGGACGGGUGAGUAACACGUGGGAACGUGCCCUUUGGUUCGGAACAACUCAGGGAAACUUGAGCUAAUACCGAAUGUGCCCUUCGGGGGAAAGAUUUAUCGCCAUUGGAGCGGCCCGCGUCUGAUUAGCUAGUUGGUGGGGUAAAGGCCCACCAAGGCGACGAUCAGUAGCUGGUCUGAGAGGAUGAUCAGCCACACUGGGACUGAGACACGGCCCAGACUCCUACGGGAGGCAGCAGUAGGGAAUCUUGCGCAAUGGGCGAAAGCCUGACGCAGCCAUGCCGCGUGAAUGAUGAAGGUCUUAGGAUUGUAAAAUUCUUUCAGCGGGGACGAUAAUGACGGUACCCGCGAGAAGAACGCCCCGGCUAACUUCGUGCCAGCAGCCGC
rnacentral:rRNA from 1 species